rnacentral:lncRNA from 1 species
GGCUCCUAGACAGGGCCUGUUUAAGAGGGCAUGGAUGUUCUGGGUUCUUUCUUCUUAUUAUUAUUUUUUAGUUGUAGAUGGACACAAUAUAUUUAUUUAUUUAUUUUUAUGCGUUGCUGAGGAUAAAACCCAGGAUCUCACACUUGCAGGGCAAGUGUUCUACCACUUAGCUACAGCCCCAGCCCGGAUGUUCUGGGUUCUUAAAACAUCUUGGCUGAAGCUGGGGCUCUAGAUAGGUCAACCAAGUCACUAAUAAAGAACCUUAAAGAGAAGAGGGCUGGCAUGCAGAGAUUGCCUUAGGGAAAGAAAAGAGAAGCCACAAAUAGUAUAGAGGAAGACAACCAGACAGUGUUAUUCAUAAGAGGCCCUGGCAAGUCAGCUUUGGAAAAGGGAGACAGCACUUUUCAUUCAUUAGUAUGUGUACCCAGUGCCUGCUCUGUACUGGGCACUUAUUUAACAUGAAUAAACCUCCACCCUCUUGGAGGCUGCAUUUCUACAUGGGAGACAUGUGAAGUAAGAAAAUUCUUAUUAGACAUGGAGAGAGUCGGUGCUGGAGCUAGGAGGGAGGGAACAUUAUUUAAAGUAGGGUGACAGGACCAGGUGCAGAAUAAUCCCAGUGAUGUGGGAGGCUGAUAAAGGAGGAUGACAAGUUCAAGGCCAGCCUAAGCAGUAUUUCAUUUAUUUUGAAAUAGUGGGACCCUAUUUCAAAAUAAAUGAAAGGACUGGAGUAAAUAGAGGUGGCAAGGAAGGCCCCUUGAAAGGGUGACACUUGAGUAGAAUUUGAAGAUCAGUCAGUAUCUAAGAAGUGGGUUGGACUGUGUUCAUUAAUUAGUCAAUUAAUCAACAUUAAUUUAUACAGUUACUAUAUACCCAGCUCUAGAGAUUGUAGUUAUUUGUAUGAUCAUCUAUUUAAUACUAUCUCUUUCUUUACAAUAUAUGUUCUAUACAGAAAUGCCUGAGAAUAUCUUGUCCACCUCUGAAUUCCCAGUACCUCAUAUAUAUUAUUAGAUGCACAAUAAACAUUUUUUGAAUGGAAAAAAAAAAAAAAGUAUUUGAAGGUCCUAGCAUGAGCCUUGUGGUCUUAGGAGCAGCAAAUACAAAAGCCCUGAGGGGAACAUAUGCAAGCAACCCUCAAGACACAGGCACAGGGCUGGGUGCUUGGAGGACUCUACUUAUUUUAGUGGGAUAAACAGUUCAAGAAGUCAAGGGCCUGAGGCCAUCAAAGAAGCUGUGUCAGCACUGGCUGAGACCCCCCCCCCCACUCAUUGCAGGGAGCUAUCCUCAAGUGGGAGGUAAGAAGGGAGAGAGCAGUUAUGUCCAACUGUGUAUCUUUACCGUCAUCCUUGAAAGGACAGUGUGUUCUGUGCAUAAGGGCUAGCCAGGAGAAGGGAGAUCAGUGAGGGCAAUCACCUUGUAGUAGACUACAAGGCUACUGUUGGGCAGGAGGGGGAAGGCCCCUCUGUCUGAGGACCUGCUGUGGUUCUGCUGUGUGGAGGAAGGGCACCAGCAGGACAGGCAACAGAAGAGUUCAGAAAGACUCCAGGUCCCCAACAGGAAUCCAGGGCAGUUCCAACAAGUCAG